rnacentral:rRNA from 1 species
GACGAACGCUGGCGGCGUGCUUAACACAUGCAAGUCGAACGAUGAAGCCGGAGCUUGCUCUGGUGAAUUAGUGGCGAACGGGUGAGUAACACGUGAGUAACCUGCCCUUGACUCUGGGAUAACUGCGGGAAACUGUAGCUAAUACCGGAUACGACCCUCGGAGGCAUCUCCUGGGGGUGGAAAGAAUUUCGGUCAAGGAUGGACUCGCGGCCUAUCAGCGAGUUGGUGAGGUAAAGGCUCACCAAGGCGACGACGGGUAGCCGGCCUGAGAGGGUGACCGGCCACGCUGGGACUGAGACACGGACCAGACUCCUACGGGAGGCAGCGGUGGGGAAUAUUGCACAAUGGGCGCAAGGCUGAUGCAGCAACGCCGCGUGAGGGAUGACGGCCUUCGGGUUGUAAACCUCUUUUAGCAGGGAAGAAGCGAAAGUGACGGUACCUGCAGAAAAAGCACCGGCUAACUACGUGCCAGCAGCCGCCGUAA